UUCAAUUUUUUUAAAGAUUUUAUUUGUUUAUUUUUAGAGGGGAAGGGAAGGAGAGAGGGACAGAAACAUCAAUGUAUGGUUGCCUUCAUGCGUCCCCUGCUGGGAACUGGCCUGCAACCCAGGCAUGUGCCCUGACUGGGAAUCGAACCACGAUUGUCUGGUUUGCAGGCCCGCGCUCAGUCCACUGAGCUACACCAGCCAGGGCUGACUUCAAUUUCUAUCUCAUCGGCUAGAAUCUGGCCUCAAGCCCCUCCCUCCCCCACCAGAGAUGCAGAGGAACCUAGGAAAAAAGAGAAGGAACAUGUUUAAUAUCAUCAUAAUUUAUCACCUGGAGAGGAGUGAGAAAUUCCCCAGUUUCAACUUGGGUUUUGAUGAUAACAGAAGGGAAAUGAACUGCUUUAAAACAUGUUUCUCUUUGAGGAUCAAUGAACGACCCCACACUUCCCCUCCAAAUAAAGACCGGCCCUCCACCUGUAACUGUGGGGUGGGAUGCUCCUGCUCCUACACUCAGGGGCUCUGCAUCUUGGUGGGACUCCUGACAACUCCCACCCCCAAACGCCCCCAGUUGUUUCAUUUGGGGCCUUAGAACACAGCGGUGCGUGGAAAUGGUAAGUUUGUGGAUGCAGGCCCUCACCAAUGCAGCUUUCUUUUCGGGUUGGGCAGUAGGGGCUUGGGUGUGCCCUAAGCUUGUAUUGGGGAAAACGGUUCACGCUGAACUCACCUGUGUCUGCACCCGUUGUUCUGAGGAUGUGUGUGUGCCUGUGUGUGUGUGUGACAGAGACCCGAGCAGAUGUUCUGAUGAGAAGGGUAGAAGCAUCACAAGAGUGUGUGUCCCUGCGGUCCUUCUUGUGAGGUGGCACAUGGCUUUUAUUCCUGAGGACAAUGGGGCAGCUUGUGCAAAAGCCAACACGCCAUUGCCGCUGUCACGGCGUCAGCCCCAGGACCCUGAGCAUGGCUCCCUGUGUGUUUGUUAUGAGUUGCCAGGAGAAAAACAGAUUACUGUCUCUCAUUUUUUUGUUUGACCCAGGUUCUUGUGGCAAAUGUGCAAGAAGAGAGGAAAAAAAAGACCUGAGCUUUAGAACUUUGUAUCGAUUUUAUUUUGAUGUUUUUAAAUAACAAAUUAUUGAAUGUUUAAAAAUUUAAUUCAGUGUGUACUUACACAUACAUUAUGUGCAUUCCAACAUUCAGCUGGAGCUGUCUCUAAAGUCACCAGUGCCUGGGCGAGAGGCACUCAUCUGCUGCUGGUGGAAUGUGCUGCCCCCCACGCCGGUCGUGGAAGAGCGGAGAAGGAGUUCUCGCCCUGCACAGAGGCAGCGAGGCAGCUGCAGGUGGUCUGCGGAGGCGCUGCCGUGACCGAUCCCGUGGAUGCCGCCAGCCUGCUCCCAGGCUUCUGAGGGCCAGGGCCUCCUCCACAUGCCCGAACUGGGCAGGCAGAACUUGACCUUGACAAUGAUAGUGCAGAUGAAAGGUAACUUUGCAGGUGAGUGAUGAUUCUACACGUGAGAAAUGAGAGUGCAGUUGAGAGAUGAUAGUGCAGGUGAAAUGUAACUGUUCAGGUGAGUGGUUACCGUUGAGGUGAGUAUAACUGUGCAUGUAAGUGAUGGCUGUGCAGUGAAAGAUGAUUGGGCAGGGCAGAGUGAGAGUGCCAGUGAGAAAUGAUUGUGCAUUAGAGUGAUGAGUGUGCAGGUUAGAGAUGACUGUGCAUAUGGGAGAUGACUGUGAAGGUGAGUGAAAAUUGUGCAGGGAGUGAUGAGAGUGCAGGUGAGUGAUGGCGGUGAAAGUGAAAGAUUACUGUGCAGGUCAGUGAUGGUUGUGCAGUGAGAGAUGAGUAUGCAGGUGAGAGAUGAUGGUGCAGCUGAGUUGUAACUCUGAAGGUGAGAGAUGGCUGUGCAGAUGAGAGAUGACUAUACAGGUGAGUGAAGAUUGGGCAGGGAGUAAUGAGCGUGCAUGUUAGAGAAGGCUGUGCAGGUGAGUGAUGAUUGUAAAGAUGAGUUAUGGCUGUGCAGGUGAAAAAUGACUGUGCAGGUGAGUGAUGCUGUGCUGGUGAGAGAUGAGUGUGAAGGUGAAAGAUGAUAGUGCCAGUGAAUGGUAACUGUGCAGGUGAUUGAUUACCAUUGAGGUGAGAAUAACUGUGCAUGUCAGUGAUGGCUGUGCAGUGAAAGAUGAUUGGGCAGGGAGAGUGAGAAUGCAGGUGAGAAAUGAUUGUGCAGGUGAGUGAUGACUGUGCAGGUUAGAGAUUGCUGUGUAUUUGAGUGACAAGUGUGCAGGUAUGCGGUGGCUGUGCAAGUGUGUGAUGAGUGUGCAUGUGAGUGAUGGCUGUGAAGGUGAGUGAUGAUUGUGUAAAUGAGAGAUGGCUAUGCAAAUAGAGAUGUCUGUGCAUGUGAGUGAUUAGUGUGCAGCUGAGAGAUUACUGUACAGGUGAGGGAUGGCUGUGCAGUGAGAAAUGAGUGUGCAGAUGAAAGACGAUAGUGCAGGUGAGAAGUAACACUGAAGGUGA